GGCUUGCUGGAGUUUUGACUGGCAGAUCUGAGGGUUGAAUCAUGAAGCGGGGACCAGAUCCGAGCGGCGGCGAUGACAAGCAACCCGAACCCAAGCGACAGGCGGUCCCGGCUCUUGCAAGUGUGAUAGUGGAAGCUCUCAAGAUGGAUAGUCUGCAGAAACUUUGUUCUUCUUUGGAACCUAUUCUUCGAAGAGUGGUCAG
rnacentral:misc_RNA from 1 species